rnacentral:rRNA from 1 species
AGAGUUUGAUCCUGGCUCAGAAUUGAACGCUGGCGGCAUGCCUUACACAUUGCAAGUCGAACGGUAACAGGUCUUCGGAUGCUGACGAGUGGCGAACGGGUGAGUAAUACAUCGGAACGUGCCCGAUCGUGGGGGAUAACGGAGCGAAAGCUUUGCUAAUACCGCAUACGAUCUACGGAUGAAAGCAGGGGACCGCAAGGCCUUGCGCGGACGGAGCGGCCGAUGGCAGAUUAGGUAGUUGGUGGGAUAAAAGCUUACCAAGCCGACGAUCUGUAGCUGGUCUGAGAGGACGACCAGCCACACUGGGACUGAGACACGGCCCAGACUCCUACGGGAGGCAGCAGUGGGGAAUUUUGGACAAUGGGCGAAAGCCUGAUCCAGCCAUGCCGCGUGCAGGAUGAAGGCCUUCGGGUUGUAAACUGCUUUUGUACGGAACGAAAAGACUCCUUCUAAUAAAGGGGGUCCAUGACGGUACCGUAAGAAUAAGCACCGGCUAACUACGUGCCAGCAGCCGCGGUAAUA